rnacentral:misc_RNA from 1 species
GAAAACUCUCAAGGCAAGGGAAGGCGUUUGAUAUGGGGAAGAUUUACAUCUCAGAAUCAGAUGAUGAUGAUGGAGGUUUGGAUCUUAAAGUGAUUCUAGUUUUGAUCGCAUUAGCUUUCCUGUUGAUGUCUGUCUGCAUCCCUACAAGGCGGCCAAGGGCUUAUGCUGUGUAUCGCUGCUGUUAGAUACUAUCCCUACAAGCUUUCUCUCUGUUUCCUCUGUUUUCAUUAUGUCUUGCAUUUAAC